AGGGCAACAGCCCAGAUCGUCAGCUAAGGUCCCUAAAUGUAAGUUAAGUGGUAAAGGAUGUGGGAUUGCACAGACAACCAGGAUGUUGGCUUAGAAGCAGCCACUCAUUCAAAGAGUGCGUAAUAGCUCACUGGUCGAGUGAUCCUGCGCCGAAGAUUUCCGGGGCUAAAACUUACUACCGAAGCUACGGCAUCAGUAAUGAUGGGUAGGGGAGCUUCCCAUACGGGUUGAAGCAUGACCGUAAGGACAUGUGGACAGUAUGGGAGUGAGAAUGUUGGCAUGAGUAGCGAGAUGU
rnacentral:rRNA from 1 species